AUUCUAAUUACUGAAACUAAUAAUUUUUUACAACAAAAACAACAACAACAAAAAUUUUCUCAAUCGUGAAAAUAUGAUUAAAAAUAUUAUAAAUUCGAAUUCUUAAAGCAAAUCAAUUUUUACAAUAAAAACAACAACAAAAAUAAAAAAUUUAAAAACAAUAAAGAGAACGGCUCAUAUUCUAAAUCUUAUCUUACAUUAUCAAAACAUAAAAUGCAAAAAUCGCAAAAAACAACAACAAAAAAAUCAGUAUUUGCCAUUUUCUUGCAAACUUAAUCCAUUAAGUGCUUCAAAUCGCACACAAGCGUGUGAGCAACCUACCUCAAGCCACUGAGGUGACGCUCAUGCAAACGCCGUAAAAAUAAAGUUAAUAAGCACAGCACGCCAUUUAAAAGCAGAAUACUGGUGAAAAAAAAACAAAACGCAAAAGAUAAUAAAGAAACAAAAAAAAAACAACAACAAAAACAAAGCGCAACACUAAGCGGCUUUGAACACGGCGGAAAUUCACUAUACAGCACACUCAUAUAGACAGACAGAUAGUCAACAGUUUAAGAAGACUACUUGGUAUAAAUUAUUGCUCAUCCCUAUUCCAAUAACGCUUGAAGCUGCAAAAGUGAGUACAUUCUAUUUAAAUACUAAUAUCUUUAUCGAGAUCAUUUUUUUUAUUCCAUACUAAUGACAUUCCAAAAAAAAAUGUAGAUUUUAUUCUAUUUACUUUUUUGGUACAUAAAAUGACUCAGUAGUAAACACUCUAGAUAUUGCAGUAAUCAGGUCAACUGCUGUAUGGUGGGUGGGUGGCAGUUUAAUUGCACACUGUACACACCUUUAAAAGACUAGUUGAUUUCACCGGCCACCAGUCACCGGUUAAUUACCUAUCUACGAAGUUGUUGCGAGGAAACAUGGGAAACCGCUCAUUUCCGAACUAUUGCGGACCGGACAUGCGACAACAUCGAACAUAGAAGCAAAAACUUAUAGCAGAUACCACAGCCUAGCUUCAUCUAAGACUCACUACGACGUAAUUAUAUUGUUAUUGUAAAAUAAUAAUUACACUAUCACUUUGCCUCUGAUUCUGUACGCAUGCGCUGUGGCAUGAAUGGUGUAUUAAAGGCGCUGCCGGUGGAUUCUUUUCGACUGUCAAGUGAAAAUUCUAAAAUUGUAAAAUCUGAAAAUUCUUUUGUCUGUCUUUUUCCUUCGCAAUUAUGUCUUCAAAUUAAAACUACAUUAAGUGCUGAGAGACACACACACACGGACAUUUAUACAAGAAGUAAGAAAUUUAAAUUCGCUGACUUUAUCUGUCAUCAUUGCUGGUGGAGAACAAUGCAAGCGAAAAGCUGGUGGCAGCCAAAGAAAAUCACCAACUCUGCCUGUGUGUUGUAACUAACGUCCGGUCCGGUGGCGUGGCAUGUGGGGUCACUGUGCUAAGAUAAGGUUUUAAUGAGAAUUUUCUCGACAUACUAACUGCUAUACUAUUAGAAUACACAGACAGACAGACUGGCAUUCUUUGCUGCGAGUUUCUUCUAUUAUUUAAUGUCUUUCUUACAAGUAGUUUAAAAUUUUAAUAUUACAUAAUUGCGGAGGCAAUUAAUUUUCCCCGGGUUCUUAUAUGAAUCAUAAUAUGAAGAAUUGUACAUGUGUU